UGCCUGUCCAAGGUACACGCAAGGUUCUCCUAAUUGAGAGUAUCGAUGUGUUCAUAGAGGAUGAGUACAGUAGGCACGUCUUGUUCCUCACCAACAUAGACCAGAAGUUUGGUUACUUUGUGAGAGCUCUCUUUUUCUUCACGCCGAAUCCUGGGCUUCAAGUUCUCAAAGAGAUCUUGAGGAAAGGAUUGAGCAACGUGUUGGCUGCCUACCCUUGUUGUGCAGGGAGGUUAAGGAUCAAUUCAAGUGAUAAGCUUGAGAUCGAUUGCAACAACCAGGGUGCACGUUUGGGUGUGGGGAGCUGCACGCUGUCCAUCUCUGAGGUGAUUGCAGCAUUUUGAUGAGUUUUUUCUCGAGCCUUCCGACAAUCUGGAGUCGUUUGAGGACCUUCCUCUGAUGAACAUUCAGGUCAUCGAAAUUAUCAAUGGAUAUGCCAUCUCCAUGCUGCAACAUCACACCUUGGGAGAGGCAACAUCGGCAAUUUGCUUCCUCAUGGAUCAGAGAAAGAAUUAAAGCUUGUAAGCUUCAAACACACAUCCAAUUUCUUUUCUAGGGGUUAUAUCUU